rnacentral:rRNA from 1 species
UACGAAGGGUGCUAGCGUUGCUCGGAUUGACUGGGCGUAAAGGGCGCGUAGGCGGUUCGGAGAGUCAGACGUGAAAUUCCUGGGCUCAACCUGGGGGCUGCGUUUGAUACGUGCGGACUUGAGUGCGGAAGAGGGUCGUGGAAUUCCCAGUGUAGAGGUGAAAUUCGUAGAUAUUGGGAAGAACACCGGUGGCGAAGGCGGCGACCUGGUCCGAUACUGACGCUGAGGCGCGAAAGCGUGGGGAGCAAACAGG